rnacentral:lncRNA from 1 species
UCCAGGCGAUUUAAAAAUUUCUGUAUAGUUCUAUUACAAUUAGCACACGACAAUCUCUUACCCAAUAUUGGAACACCCAGCUAUGCUAUCAAGUAUCAUCACAUUCUUUAAUAUAAAAAUGAGUUUUAAUGUGUUGUUUAAUAAAAGUGUUAACUUUAGGACUGAAUUUAGUCAUAGAUUUUUCAAAAUUAACCUAUUGUCCAAAAAUUACCCGGUACUUCUAUAUAAUAGUCAAUAAGGUUCUUGCAUUAUUCACAGUGGCC